GAGCUGCAGAUGGGCUAUGGCAGCCUGGCUGACUUCAGUCUCGAGUCAUCCGAUCGUACCAGACAUUCUAUUAUGCCCUCGUCUGGUGUGAUCCUUCCUUGGACAACCCUGGAUGUUUUAAAGCUACGUGAGAAGAUAACUAAGGAGGUAACUGGUAACUGUGUGUAGCCAUAUGAGGAAGGUGGUUGAUUGUCUAUGAGAAGACCGGUGACUCUUCCUGGAGGGUUGACCAAGAUUGACCUGACUGGCUUUUCAGUCUUCUAACCCUGAUGACCUCCCACCUGCCAUGAACCUAGUGUGGAAGUGAUGUCCCGCAUUCCCGGAAAAAUCUCCUGGUGUCUCUGUGAAUUAAGUGUCCCUCACUCUCUGGGUAUUUUAAGGAAAAAGAGUUUCAGCUUUGCAAAAUGUCAAAGACUUUUAAAAUAGUUUCCCCCCUUGAUACAAAGAAAUUUCUCUUCAUCAAAGAAGACUGCACAAGCCAGAGAAAUAUGAAGAAAAUUUAAAUCCUUCAUAAGCCUACCAACCUGAGAUAAUUACUAAUUAUUUUCUUGUUAUAUUUGGGGUCAUAAAGUAAUAGAGAUUCUAACAUGCUUUAUUAUUUAAUAAACAAUGUACGGCCAGCUUUUUCUUAUGCCAUUAAAUACUCUUUAGUGGCUAAGCAUAACACAUCCAUUUUGGGCAGAGCAUAUACUGAAAUAAAAGACAUUUAAUAGAAAUCAAGAAACAUCAAAAUAAAAAUUAGUGCACUUGUCUUGAAUGAA